GCCGGAAUGGUGGAAUAGGUAGACACAAGGGACUUAAAAUCCCUCGGUAGUAAAAUGCCGUGCCAGUUCGAUUCUGGUUUCCGGCA
rnacentral:tRNA from 1 species